rnacentral:rRNA from 1 species
GACGAACGCUGGCGGCGUGCUUAACACAUGCAAGUCGAACGGAAAGGCCCCUUUGGGGGUACUCGAGUGGCGAACGGGUGAGUAACACGUGAGUAACCUGCCCUUGACUUCGGGAUAACCUCAGGAAACUGGGGCUAAUACCGGAUAGGAAUCCUUGCUGCAUGGUGGGGGUUGGAAAGCUUCGGCGGUUUUGGAUGGACUCGCGGCUUAUCAGCUUGUUGGUGGGGUAGUGGCUUACCAAGGCUUUGACGGGUAGCCGGCCUGAGAGGGCGACCGGCCACAUUGGGACUGAGAUACGGCCCAGACUCCUACGGGAGGCAGCAGUGGGGAAUAUUGCACAAUGGGCGGAAGCCUGAUGCAGCAACGCCGCGUGCGGGAUGACGGCCUUCGGGUUGUAAACCGCUUUCAGCAGGGGCGAAGCUUGUGGUGACGGUACCUGCAGAAAAAGCACCGGCUAACUACGUG